UUCAUAUUAUAGUCUAUUUUUAAUUGUUUAUAAAAGUCCUUGCUGUUUUUAAGUGGCUGAAUUAGUGUGUGUGCACGCGUGUGUGUGUGCGUGUUGGUAGCUGGGUGGGUAUAUAGUUCUGGUCUGAAGUUGACAUACCCCUUGCAGGAGAAAGAGACCCUGUGUAAUCUAUUUAAACGACUUUUACGCAUGUUUUGCAGAGAGAUCAUUUUCACCUUGCUGUUUGGGUCUCUGUCCCACACUGUUACAGUGCAGAAUUGAGAGCGCGAGGGAGAUCGAUUUUCUAUCAGAAACAGUAACUAUAUAAAAUGGACGUCAACACGCAGCACUCUGUGAGGUUGUGUUCGAGUUGUGCAGGCUUGUGUCACCUGACUUAAAGAAGGCAUUGUUUGAAGGGCUUGAUCAGCACCUCCCACGGCUCCUGCAGUUGUACAACACCGAGAGGCAGUGAAAUACCUGAAAUCCAACAUGUGAUGACCCGCAUUGAUCAAGAGGUGUUCCAGGUGCAGUCUUUGGAAAUUGAUGAAGAUUUACUGCCCUGCAAGAUCUUCCUCAACUGCGUAGUCUAGAGCAAAGGAUGCAACAGAGCCCAGAUUGCAAGCAAAAACUGGUGACACACUCGUACUCAAAGCACAACAUUCAACACCACUUUGAUAUGAGGGAACAGUUAUGACCUAAUCUUUGGUAGAGGAGCAAAAC
ensembl:lncRNA